rfam:Bombyx mori DNA, contig: Bm_scaf29_contig18493, strain: p50T/Dazao, build 2, whole genome shotgun sequence.
ACAACAUUCGGACCGUCGGUCUACUGAGCAAUAUCACCCGCUCGGUGGAAGAUCUUCCCUUUGUCGU